AAUUUCUUCCAGAACAGCAGAACCGUCUCCUUUUGCCCCGGUGCAGCAGGCACCUCCGCGCUCCAUUGCAGGUUCCAUACCUCACUCCCAGGAGAAAAAAGGAGGGUGUCACCGCGAACUGCUCUGCGGAGGAAGAUAAAGAAAAUACUCCGUCCGCUGGAGGACCUGGACCCGGGGCGGAGGGCGCCGCGGCCUGGCUUCUGGAGCCCUGGCGAGCCUGUUCUCUAUUCCAGAUCGCUCGCGCUGCCCUGCUCGCCCGCCUCUUGGUCUCUCGCUGGCUGGACCGAUACAUCUGCAGAUACCUUGGCCCAAUCUCUGGCGGCUCCGGGUCCCGUCGCUCUCACAAGCUGCCCCAAACUCCCCAACCCCGCGAGGCCGGAGACCCCAGGCAUCCGGAAGCCUGGGGCUCCUUGAGGGAACAGUCCAGGCCCAGCCGCCCGGCGGGUUUCCCUGAAAUAGCAAACUUCUGCCGGAAGGGGGCGACCUUGCCUUUUUAA
rnacentral:lncRNA from 12 species